UACCUGCAGCUCGAGUGGUGAUCGUUAUUAUUGGGCCUAAAACGUCCGUAGCCGGUCUUAUAAAUGCCUGGGUAAAUCGUAUGGCUUAACCAUACGAAUUCCGGGUAGACUGUUUGACCUUGAGACCGGGAGAAGCUAGAGGUACUCCUUGGGUAGAGGUGAAAUUCUGUAAUCCUAGGGGGACCACCAGUGGCGAAGGCGUCUAGCUAGAACGGGUCUGACGGUGAGGGACGAAGCCCUGGGGCGCAAACGGGAUUAGAUACCCCCGGUAGUCCAGGGUGUAAACGCUGCUUGCUUGAUGUUAGUCUGGCUCCGAGCCAGAUUAGUGUCGGAGAGAAGUUGUUAAGCAAGCUGCCUGGGAGUACGGCCGCAGACUGAAACUUAAAGGAAUUGGCGGGGGAGCACAGCAACGGGUGGAGCGUGCGGUUU
rnacentral:rRNA from 1 species